GCCGAGCAUGGUGGCGCGGCCUGUAGUCCCAGCUACUCGGGAGGCUGAGGUGGGAGGAUCGCUUGAGUCCAGGAGUUCUGGGCUGCAGUGCGCUAUGCCGAUCUGGUGUCCGCACUAAGUUCGGCAUCAAUAUGGUGACCUCAGGGGCUGGGGGUUUAGCUCAGCGGCAUAAGCGCCUGCCUUGCAAGCAGGCAGUCGUGAGUUCAAUCCCUGGCACCGAUAAAAAGGAAAAAGACAAAAUAUAUAUACAUACAUAUAUAUAUGGUGACCUCCCGGGAGCGGGGGACCACCAGGUUGCCUAAGGAGGGGUGAACCGGCCCAAGUCGGAAACGGAGCAGGUCAAAACUCCCAUUGUUAGGGCCGACGCCGCAGGGAAAGAGACCCCAAGGACUCAAUUCUUGGUGAGGGAAAAAAGUUUAUUUCCAU
rnacentral:SRP_RNA from 1 species